CCCCCCUCAAGAUGAGAUAUCCCAUCCGAAAGGAGUAAGACCCCUUGAAGACGACGAGGUAGAUAGGGCAGGGGUGGAAGUACAGUAAUGUAUGGAGCUGACUGCUACUAAUCGGUCGAGGGCUUGACCAA
rnacentral:rRNA from 1 species